GGCUCUGUGGCAGGGAGUGGGAGGGUGAUUAACAGGGGAAGAAUUAGGAAAGAGGACACGCAAGACCACAGUAAGAGAUGGAAAUAAGAGAAUAUUCCUGAUUUCCACUGGAUGACUUUGACUGGUAUGAUUUCAUUCUCUGAAAGUGUUAACCAGGGUGCAGCAUGGCCAGAAACCAUUCCGAGCCUCAUGAAGUGGGCAAGUCAGGUUUGGUCAUUUUUGGUAAUGUCAUUGCAUGUACACAGUUUAAGACAGAGCAUCUGGUGAUUCUCGGACCUUCAAGCAAGUGUCACAUCUCAGGUGAACCUUGGCAGUUUUAAGAUGAACAAAGUAAUCAAAGCAAAAAUGUCAAAUAAUAAUAAUAAUAAUGAUAUCAGAAGAAUGUCCAGUGCCAUGGUUGGAUUCCCAGAAGGCAGCAUCUGCUCAUGCCAUCAACAACAUGGUGCCAUUUCAGUCAUCCUCUUUUUGUCCCAAAGACAGAAAAAAAAUAGAAAAAAGAAAGAGAAAAAGACACCACGAACCGUCUAUCCUCCUGGUAAUACAAAUACACCUGUAAAUAAACAUGUCAAUGUCUACACACAACGCACAUUUAUGCAGAAUCCAUCCUCUCGGUGCUUCCGUAGUUAUCAAGUAAAAGUCCUUCUAAGCCUAAGAAAUGAUAGUAUUAAUUCAGUCUUGGGGUGUGGGGGGAAAGGUGGACUAUCAUCAAAUAAAAAAGGCGAGGCUAAUUAAGUGACAUCCACUGGGGACUGGGAAAAGAAGAGACUUCUUGUGGGAAAGUAAUUAUAUCUUCAUUGACCCUCCUGGGGUACCCCCAGUGGCAGGGACUCUGCCUCGCGGUGUGACAUCUCCUUUCGGGAUGAGCAGCCAGUCACCUCGAGAAGCCCCCUUCUCCAUGGAUGCGUUUUCUAAUCAUUUCACAUGAUUGAGCCUCCAGCAAGUGAUGCUUUACUUAAUUCCUUUCCGCCUGUAGGGUGUGAGGUUUGGAGGGCCUCUCGUCAAAACUUUGGAGGGCUCUGUCAGUUUGAAAAGAACAUGACCUUUAAAUUGUAUCAGUAUGUUUGCUGGUGCAUAAGGGAGAGGAAAAGGUUCGUCCUGAUGGAAAACCACUCAGAAGCCAAGGAGUAAUUCAGAGGGAACCAGCCCAGGAAGAAUCAAGAAAGCUGCCCACAGUGUCAUUCUUCAGCUGAGAAAAGAGAGAGUUGACUAACUCCUCGGACUGGAGUGAGGACUCACAGAGGUGGUGAGAAGCCAUCCUCUCUUGAAUGGGGGCUCCCACUGUACAUCUGGCACCCACUUCACAGAUCCAUGAACUGGAAGAUGCUUUCUUAUAACUCAGAGAAAAGAGAUGAAAAUGAAUCAAAGAACAGGAAGGAGACAAGCUCAGGAGAGUCACCCUAAGAAGGAUGUGUGGAAGACUUGACUGGAGGAUCAAAAUGUGUCGGGGGAAGGUGUACAAGGAGGAGUAAGGACACAGAUGUCCUGACUUCACACAGUGGGGGAUUAGAAGCCACCAUCAAACACAGAUGAAACAGGAAUAAAAGUAGUAGUACAUUACUUAAGCUUUAAAAGGGUAAGACUCCUGGGAAUUUGGAAGCUGAGACUUGAGGCAAGUAUUUAGGAUUUGCUGUCUCACCUCCCUGCUAUGACAGUCCUUAAUUAAUGGAGAUGAUGGAGAACAGCUUGCUGGGCUGAGUGGCAGGAGCCAUGCAGCUGCUGGGGCUGGAGUGGGUCAGGAAGCUUCAUCAAUCUGGGACACAUGACGUGCUUGGUGGUGGCGGAGCCUGACGCAUCCCUCUUCAUCGACAUUGUGUCAAUAGGAGCAGAGGCAUUUAGCUGUGUAAACACAGAGCUUCAGUGGCAGCACCCUAAAUGCUUAGCUGAUAGAUCCGGAAUUAAAUACAGACCUAGAAACUGGAGUUGGAAAACUUCCUGGCAGCACUCCUUCCCUGCCAUCCCGGUGAUCCCCUUCUGGAUGGAGGGUGUGGAGCUCAGCACAUUCACGUCUGCAGUUCUCAGAGAACCAAGUGUUAAGGAAUGUCAGGGAAGGAAGAAGGCAGCCAGCCAGGAAGGGGAGGUCCUGGCCUGAGCACGCCAGGCACAGAGGGAUAGAGGGUAGGGAGGAAACUGCACCUGUCUCCAACCCUCGACCCCAGCCCCGAAACACGACAUUGGCUGAAACAGAUUAAAAGCAUAAAAUGGCCCAAAGAAAUGGGAGAAGGUUGGCCUCUGGUCGGGCAAACAUGAGGGCAUGAAGAUAUAUAAUGUCCCACACGGGAGGAAACCCUUGCCGGGCCCCUCAGGAUUUAUAACAAGCUCACCUGAAGGAGAAACUUCAGGGGCACUUACACCAUCAGAUACCUAGAAAGGAGCUGUCAUUUCCUCACUGAAGAGUUUGCAAGCAGAUGGUAAAAGGGGUUUAAUUUGAAAACACUGAAACAUCGUGUUCGCUCAAAACCAUGACAAUUGCAGUUUUAUUGUCUCCACUCAGGAAAAUGUGUGUCUGGAUCAUCUUGUGGCCCGAAUGGGGAGAAAAGCAGCACAAGAAUGGAAUAGUACAGUGGCUACGAACACAGAAACCACACUCCAGGCCCAGUCCCCGGCAGUGGCCUCCAGGACCCACUCUGAGCUAGAUCACAUCAGUGAUGGGCUGGCCAAUCUUUAAGGAGAAUGACUCUACUCUUAGGAAGCCAGCAGGUUGGAGGAGGAAACACAUUCAAAUCCCGAGCACAAGGAGCUGGGAGAAGACCGGUUAUGGGAGCGGCAUUCCUGGAAGCUCUGAAGUCACAGCCCCACUGAUGAAAGGAUGUAAGAACCUAAGAGUGGAAACCUGCCCCUGGGAUUCAUAUGGUGUCCCCUCAGGACUCAAACCCUGGUCUGGUAUGCUCAGUAAAUGAAUGAAUAUACCCACUACACCCCAGGUUAUUUUUUUUCUGAAGACAUCGUUUGACACAGAGGGAACACUGUAGAUAAGAAGCCCAACCCUGUUAGAAAGCAGAAGGGUUUGUUUGGGAAAAGGAAACAAAAUAUAUUUUUAAGCUCCAUAAACAUAUGAUGAAUGCUAACAAGGUAUUUUCAAAAUAAGAAGCACAUAGAAACAGCUUAUGUUUCUGGUCAAAUGAAGUUGUAAUCAAAUCGUUAUCAAAGCAAAAAAAAAGAGAGGAAGAAAUCAAAAUGAGUCAGAAGAGUUUUUGGAAAGAUUCAGCAACUUAACUGACUUGAAGAGAUUUCCCUUGUCUCAGUCUUACUGCUGCUUCUAGGGGAACACAGUUUUGCACGGGAAUCGAGGCCAACUUGCAACCCACAGGCACUCUGGAGGAACAAAGAAAGUAUCGCCUGCAACUCACCACGGUCUCUCUCUCUUAAGCCCUUGCUCUUGCCAGAAGAAGUUUCACACAAAGGUUUGCCUGCGAGGCUGCGCUUUCCUCUCCAGAUCAGCAGAAACAACUUACCAGCAGAAAUACUUAAUGACGGAGCCAAGACUGGCACAGCCACGCGGUCACAGCUUUGUUCCCAAGAAGCAAGCCAAUUAGCAGCCCUGGUUAUUAUUUACAUUUCCCGCAAUAUAUCACUAAAAUUGUGUUGAUGAUUUAUCAUUUAUAUUAUGUUAUUGUCAGCAUAAUUUAUUCAGAUCAUGCUGAGAUACCUGGAAAAUUAAGUAAAAGAAAAAGAAGUGGCAUUGAAUUCAUCGGGUUUGAAAGAUAUUUCUCAGCUUCUUUUUUCUCUCCCUCUCUUUCUCUCUCUCUCUCUCUUUUAAUGAGGAUAGAUGUUAAGAAAAAUCAUGGAUCACUUAGCUAUUAAAUUGUUCCAGGAUCAUCUGCAUUAAAAGUUUGCUCAGUAUUCUUUUGUGAGAGAACAUGGCUUGGGCGUUCAUUUGGAUUUUCUUCUGGAACCUUUUCUUUCAGUCUAUUAUUUCAAAGUAAAAAAAAAAGGAAAUGCAAUCCUCUUUAGUUUAGAGCAAAGCAGAGUGGAUUAAUGAGGGGCUGGAGGCUUCUCUUCCAAUUUAUAAAACAUCCUUAUCUUCUGCCUUAUAUUCUAUUUGCCCCACCCUCUGGGAAAUAAUUGUUGCUUAUCAGAAUUAGAGAUAAAAUAUUCCAGUUGUUGAAGCCAUUCAUCAUCUAGGCAUUCUAGAAAAGCAGUUACUGAACUAGAGGCAGCAUUUUGAGCAUCAGAGCUCUGGGUUCUAGUCCCAGGUCUGUCCAGGCUUUGUGUGAUUCCAGGAGUCACUGAAGCUAUCCUGCUUCUGUUUCCCCAGCAGUGGGAUUCAUGGAUGUCCAGGAUCAGGCUUGCUGGGUCUGCCCCAGGUCUUCAGAAUCAGACUGCCUGGGGAAGGCACAUGGAGGUCUUUUUGACAGGUGUCAUAGGUGAUACUUCUACACACUUCAGUUAGAAAAGUCAUUGGGCUUACAUAUGCCUGCAGCCACUUCCAGCUCCAGUCUUCCUAGAGUUCUACGGACUCUAAUUAUAUGGCAUGUUUUGCAUAUUUCUGAAACUUCAUAUGGGAAACAAACUUUUGGAAAUUGAUUCAUUUAAGAAUCUGUGGCCAGGCGUGGUGGCUCACGACUGUAAUCCCAGCACUUUGGGAGGCUGA
rnacentral:lncRNA from 1 species